ensembl:lncRNA
GUGAAGUUAGACCACCUUUUCAGAACUCCUGCAGACAUUUUCAAGGAAGGGAACUUUUGUUACAUGUGAUUGUCUAACCAGGAUUCAAAAUGUAUCCACUACUGGAUAGCAACUGUAAACAAUAUUUUAAAAAUACAUCUUAGAGUACUUUGCUGAGAAAAGAUAAUUUUAUGUGCUAAAAAUUUCUAAAGGGGGAAAUUUAUAUUUUGUUAACUUACUCUGAGCUUCAUGUAAUUACACAGUAGCGGCUGCCUCAUCAUGUAAACUUCUCGCCUUGAGGUUAGGUAGGUAAUUUCACACCUCUUAGAUUAGAGGACGUUUAACUAUUGUUUACAUGGGUUAUAAACAUGAUAAUAUAGCUAUAUAAUAACACAGCUUUCCUCUGAACCAGACGUGCUAACAACAUCACAAUCUCUGUUUCCUUAAAAAUGGGUUGGCAUUUCCAAAGUUCCUUCUAAAUCUGACGUGAACAGGGAAUUAGAAGUCAUAACGCAAAUGCCAAGGUCCCUUAAGGCAGUGGCCUUCAGCCUUUCUCCCCCCGCAUGUGAAGGGCUGGUGUGCCCAGUAUUACCUGAAAAUCCUUGCUCAUGAAUUAUGUCUUACCACUCUUUCCCCUCUUUUGGAAAAAAUACACCUAAAAUGCAAGCAACUGAAUAGAUAUUAGGCUAUAGCCUGGACCAUCGGUUGCGAACUUCCAUACUUCUUUCUACCAACUCAACUAUAAUAGUCACAUAGGAUUAUUCCCGGUUCACAGUGGGAAGAAAUAUUAAAAACGAGUCCAAAUGUUGGGUUUUGAUUCACACCUCCCUGAAGUGCCUGGGUGCAUUUUGCUACAGCCUGCAUGCAGGAGAAAGCCCCGAGUAGUCUGAUAAGCAGAGGUUUUCUCCCUACAGGUAAAUAAUAACUGGCCAACAUUUAUGAAGCAGUGUGUGUUAAGGCACUUGUCUACGUGAUUUCUUUUAAUCCUGAUGAAAUUCUGAGAAGUAGCUUUAUCGAUGAGAAAGCGGAUUCUGGGAGCUAUGGCUCCAGGUCACAUUAAACCGCUGAAAAAGGCUCAAAUUUAGGUCCUGCUGACUCUCAGGCUGUCUUUAGAGGGUGUUUUGUUGUUCUUGUAAAUAAUCUCAAUAUGAACAAGGCCAACUGGCUCAGGGUGACACGUGAUCCCCAAUCAUUCUCUUUCACUUUCUGCCAGAUUGGAAGACGGUCUUGUGAUUAAAUAUUUCUGGCCAGCAAUAUCUUGCUGCCUACGGAAAAAUGAUAUUCCCGAAUCCUUGACAAUUGUUUCACUGGACACAGAAACAAAGCUUGGAAUGUCUACAGGAAAACCGCUGUUUCUCUGUACCUGUCUUUCCUCCGGCAAGAUGGAAAGAACGGUAUCACUUUAGAAAGUGGCUUUGGGAAGAAGGAAACCCAGGGAUGCUGCUUGGCUAUGAUUAGUAGACACUUUGGGGGGCAGGCUACGCCUACCACUGGACAUUUUAAAAUUUGGAAGCCACUUCUUAAGGGAUGAAGGCAGGAGAACCAGAGAAGGCCCAAACAAGGAGAUUGGUUGGCUGCUUGAUUGAUUGACUUGAGAUAGGAAGGACUUUUACUAUGGGCCUGCCUCUGAGCUUCCCAGGUGGCUCAUUGGUAAAGAAUCUGCCUGCCAAUGCAGGAGAUGUAGGUUUGAUCCCUGGGUCGGGAAAAUUCCCCAGAGGAGGAAAUAGCAACCCACUCCAGUAUUCUUGUCUGGGAAAUCCCAUGAACAGAGGAGCCUGGCGGACUACAGCCCAUGGGGUCGUAAAGAGUUGGACACACUUUCACUCUGAUUUAAAUAUAUAGUGUACAACAUAUUAUUAUGCAUUGUAUAUAACAAUUUAAUGACAUUAUAUUAUUAUAACAUCGUGUAAUAAUAUAAUGAUUAAUAUUAUUAAGGGCUUCUCUGGUGACUCAGUGGUAAAGAAUCUGCCUGCCAAUGCAGGAGACACAGUUUCCAUUCCUGAGUUGGGAAGAUCGCCUGGAGAAGGAAAUGGCAACCCACUCCAGUAUUCUUGCCUGGAAAAUCCCAUGGAUAGAGGAGUCUGGUGGGCUGCAGUCCAUGGGAUUGCAAAGAACUGGACACAACUUAGUGACUAAACAACAGCAACAACAGUCUUCUCUUUGCUUCCCUAAGGAACACUCAGUUUCAAUAAAAACGUAUUGAGGGCUCCCCUGGUGACUCAGUGGUAGAGAACCCGCCUGCCAAUGCCGGAGACACAGGUUCCAUCCCUAGUCUGGGAGGAUUGCGCAUGCCAUGGGACAGCUAGACCUGUGGGCCACAACUACGUAGCCAGUGCUCUAGAGCCCACGAGCCACAGCUAUUAAGCCCACGCAUUGCAAGUACUGGAGCCCAUGCACCCUAAAGCCUGUGCUCUGCAACGAGAGAAAUCACUGCAAUGAGAAGCCUGCACACCACAGCCAGAGAGUAGCCCGCAUUCACUACAACUAGAGAAAGCCCACACACAGCAACAAAGACCCAGCACAGCUAUAAAUAAAUACAUAAAUCUUUAAAAAAAAAUGUAUUGAGCACCUACUGUAUGCUAGGCAUUAGGUAAAAAAAUACACACGCACAUUAUUUAAGCCUUCUAGGAACUCAGAGGUGUGUGGUUUUGUGUGUGUGUGUGUGUGUGUGAAAUCACAGUAUAAUGAGUUAUGAACACCAAAAUAGAUUUGAACAACCUGCUGUGAGAGUAUGCAACGGGAAAAGAUAACUCUGCAAAGAUUUGGCUGAGGAAAUGUGAUUUUAAGUAUUGGAGGAUUGGUAGGAAUUGGCCUGGUCAAAACCCAACAAACAAAAAUGUAGAAGGAUAGUCCACAGGGCUGAACAGAAUCCACAGAGGCACGAAGGCAUGGGGGAAGAUGAUUGGGAAACAUGAUGCAUAGGCUGGUGUUACGAUGCUUGGUGUAUGUGUUCUAAAGUGAGUAGGAAGAGCUGUUCCAUAAAAGAGGGAGGGGCUGACCCUGGAAGAAAGGAGGAGAGCUGGACAAACAAAAGGAGCAACAUCCACCACCUUGCCCACCAUGCCUUGUCAGUUUCACAGAGCUCCUGCGAAGAUCCUGUUUUUACAGUUAAGAAAACUGUGGUUCUGAGAAGUUGUGUAACUUGCUCAAGAUGACAUGUUUCAAGUGAUGGAGAUUUUUGGAUUAAAAAAAUAGAUUUACCUGUUAACCAAAGCUAGAGUAAUUGGGAGAGUGAUGUAUAUUGAAAGGAUAGACACAAACACCAGUGGGACAGAAUACACAGUCCACAAAGAGAUCAUCCCUAUAUUGUCAACCUGUUUUUAACCAAAAAGCAAAUCCAAUUUAAUGUAGGAAGGAUGGUCUUUGCAAUAAAUGGUGUUGAAACAAGUAACAACCGUAUGGGAAAAAAAUGAGGAGAGGGAAGGAAAUCGGGAAGGAGGAAGAGGAAGUAGAGAAGGAGGAGGGAAAAAAAACCCCACAACCAAUAAUACCUUUUAUCUUGUGCAAAAAUCACCUCAAAAUGGAUCACAGAUCUAAAUGUAAAAUUUAAAACUAUAAAACUUCUAAAGAAAACAUAGGCGAAAAACCACUGUGACUUUGGAUGAGGGAAAGAAUUCUUAAAUAUGACACUGAAGGAAUGAUCCAUGAAGGGAAAAAUCCACAGUUGAACUUCAUAAAAAUUAACAACUUUUAUUGUGUCAAAGACACUGUUAAGAGAAUGAAAAGACAAACCACAGGCUAAUAGAAAUAUUUUCAAAUCACAUACCUGACAGAAGACUUACGUGUAUAAUAUAUGAGAACUUUUAAAACUUCCUAUAGGAAAACAACCCAUUUAAAACUGGGCAAAAGAUUUCGAACAGGUACUUCAUGAAUGGUGAAUAAAUGUAUGCACAUAUUCUCAACAUCAUUAGUAAUUAUGAAAUUGUAAAUUAAAACCACAGUGAAAUAAUACCACACGGCUGUUAGAAUGGCUAUAACCCAACCCAAAUCAAACUGAAACAAAUCAAAAAACUACAUGCUGGCAAGGGUAUUGAACAACUGGAACUCUCAUAUAUUCCUGUUCCUGGUAGGGGUGCCAAAUAGUACAGUCACUUUGGGAAAGAAUUUGGCAGUUUCUUAUAAAGGUGAACAUACACUUAGCAAAUAACCCAGUAAUCCUAGGUGUUCACCCAAGUGAAAUGAACACUUAAGUUCACACAAAAACACUGUACAUGAUUGUUUAUUGCAGCUUCAUUCAUAAUCACCCAAACUGGAAACCCAAAUGUCCAUCAACCAUUGAAUGGAUACACUGUGGCACAUGUAUACAAUGAAAUACUACUCAGCAAUAAAAAUGGAAAAACUAUUGAUAGAUACAAUAACAUGGGUGAAUCUCAAAUGCAUUUUGCUGUGGGCAAGGAGCCAGAUCCAAAUAUGAUCUGCAGAUCAUAUGGUUCCAUUUAGGCAACUUCCUCAGAAAGCAGAAAUAAACAGAUGGAUCAGUUGUUGCUGAGGGCUUGGUGUGACAAGAUGUUCUGGCUACACAGAGGCAACACUAGGAGAUUCCUUGAGCUAAUACAACUCUUUUGUACCUUGGUAUCGAUGGAGGCAUACUGCUCCUUCACUUCUGAGUCAAGAGAAAAGAUGCACACAUUUUUGCAGUCUAGGGAGCUAAUAGUAAAAAAUUUUAACUUCUGUUUUUUGAUUAUAUUGAAAUAGUCGUAC